GCUCGCAUAAUUGAACGUACGCGAGGUGCAAAAUCGCUAGCGGUAAAUUUUAAGUGGACGAUAAUAUAGUUGACUUUCACCAGCGAAAAAUAUUGAAAUGUCUUCUCGGUGGAUGAUUAUAUAGACAUGAUCUUGGUAUAGAGAAAACACUCGAUUCGUAAAAUUUUUAAAAAUAUUGGAACUUCUAUUAUCUUUACACGAGUAUUCAAACUUAGAUGCCAGAAAUAUUACAUCAAAUUCUAUAUAAAAAAAUCUAUCGCAAACAUAACCUCACCCUUUACCAUUGUAAAUGUUUUAAUCACGGUUGGUAAAAAAAUUAUUAUAUCGAAUAUUCAGAAAUAAAGUAUACGUAAUACGUAAUAUUAACGUAAGAUUCAGAUAUAAUUGUUUCAAGAAAUUCGCCGAGAAAUACCCACGAAAAAAAAAAUAUAUACAUAUAGAAGAAGAUACAGCGGAAUCUAUACCAAUGGAUCCACAAAUCAUAUCCUCACAACCCAGCGACAAAUAUCCGCCAUAAUCCAAUAAAGGAUAUCUUUCCAACGAGCCGUCGAAAAGCGCAUGAAACUUUCCGUGCUCCGAUAAAUCAACCCUUUCCCCUUCCCCAAUAAGAGAACCAGCCGGACAACAAGCAGAGGGUUGAAGAACAUGCACGAAAAUAAAAACGAGGAUUAAAAACACGCGUUCGAGAGAAAGAAAAAGAAAACGCUCGAAUGGGAAGGAAGAGUAGUAGUAGUAGGAGGAGGAGGAGGAGAAGGGUUCCGGACAAGAGGAAGAGGAUCCCAAAGAGGCGUCCAGGCAACGAAAGGACGGAGCAAGGAGGAAGGGAACCCGCAUGUGACAUUCGAGACACUCCCUUGGUCCUUCUUCUUCCUCCAAUGAUCCCCUUGAAAGCGAACGAGAGAGAGAGAGAGAGAGAGAGAGAGAGAGAGAGAGAGAGAAGGGGAGAUUGAAUCGUCUCGAGCCAGCUGGUGCACACCUCUUCUUCUUCCUCCUUCUCCCCUUAAUCCCUUUCCAUCCUUACUCGCUCACGAAGAAGACGGCCGGGUCCUCCUCCUGGCCGUGACGUGCCGUAUUGUGGACUUUUCUCAAACAGGACAAAAGGAUUCCCCCGGUAAGGGGAGAACCCUCGCUCCCCAGCAACGUCCAUCCAGAAGAGCACGUGUGCGCGCGCGUCUCGUCGGCCAGUUAAGAGAAAAAUUACUCGGUGAAAGAGGAAAAGGUAGCGGAAAUACGGGGCAAGGGAAUUCUGGUCUUGAACAGUAUAAGCGGUAGCAAGAGAUUAUAAAAGGUCGGGUGGCUCUUGUGGGACCACUCGAAGUCAAGAGAAAGAGAGAGAGGAACAAGUGUUUUUUUCAGUCUCCGAGUCAAAUAUUUUUACAGAACGAAGGAGAUCGGGAGGGAGACGCACAUUUUUCUUCAAACUUGAGGAGAAUUAUUCCACCAAUCCGUGAUCGCUUGGAAAACACGCAGGUGCAAGUAUGCAUUUUCCAUACUUGGAUUAACAACCGUAAGUAAUUGAAAACAGCUUGUUCUCUCUUGCUUCUUCUUCAACGGACCAAGGAUGUUCUUUCAGUCGCUCUCUGAUCUUCCUCUUUGAUUACACGGUCCGAUGAGCUGGUUUACGCGUUACACGUAAACACUGUGAAGUGGGCGACGAGCCGGACUGUUAUGGGGAAAAAAUGGCCGCCACUGGGGGAACUCUCUUGAUAAAAGCGGAAACUACUUUUCGGUAGCGAUUUGCUAUCGACGAUCACAUAGAUUAACCAUCUUCCUUUUUAGGGACGAGUCGAUGUCGCCCCCUAUUUCUCGACGACGAACGAAUAAAAAUGGAAAGGAAGAAUGGGAGAAAGGUGGAGGAGUGCUUGGAAAUAUACGGAUAAUUGGUUCGAGAUCGAGGACUAAGACGAAAACGACGACGACGACUAUCCAUUAAGGCGUGUUUUUCCAGUCGAAGGAUAAUAUUUUGAUUGUUCCAACCUAUGCAAACACGAAUAUUCGAGCGGCAGCAAUAACAUCCCAUUUGCAAACAACCUGGAACGCUUUUGGCCCAGCCUUGUCGUCCUUUCGAUUCCAAAAAAAAAAAACUUUUUUCAAACAACCUCGAGAAAAGAUGAAAUUUUCUUAGUAUCAUCUUUCGUUCCCUUAUAAAAAAAAAAAAAUCUCUGCAAUUAACGGAGGAAGAAAAGAAAAAGAAUUUUCAAAAUUUCAUCCAUCUUUUAUCUCUCGAGAUCUAGCGCGUUCGUCUCAAAUCGUAUCAGAGAGAGGAAGAUAAAUUUUGUUUAUGGAAUGUUUUAUAUGCGUUAACGAGUUUCUCUCUUCAAAAAUCUUCUUUUCCUCUCCUGUGAGGAAAAACAACUUUCCUUUCGAAAAAUACCGAUAUACAGAGUCGAGACGAUGUCACGACGAUGUUACUUCACGAAGAAAAAAGAAUUCUUCUUCAGAAGACAGAAAUGGCCGAUCGAAGCUGACAACGAACAGUUUAAUUUGGUCGGUUCGAGAAUACUCCGCCGGGACAAGUUCAUCCGACACAAAUUUGGCGCGACUCGACUCCUUCUCCUCUUCCCUCCCUUUCUUUUUUCGAAUCGAAGGAAUCGCGACUGUUCCACCUGGCUAUAUGAUAAUAUCUUCGACAUCGAAUCGAUCCGAGGGAAUCGUGGUUCCGUUUUGAGGGCGUCAUUCAUAGGUAAACACACAAUAGGUUAGAAAUACACCUAUUUAAUCCGCAUAUUUUUCGUCCGAUCUGAUUUUUAUUUUGCUUCUUCUGUACACAUUCAGCGAGUCACAGUUGGAAAAAUCGUAAAAACACGUUUAAUAAAAAAGUGAAAAAAAGAUGAGUAUAUUCUAAAUGUAUCUUUGUAUUUAUAGUAAUAUAAAAAUAUAUAGAUAUUUCUAUGUGAAAGAUAAAA